rnacentral:rRNA from 1 species
UACGAAGGGGGCUAGCGUUGCUCGGAAUGACUGGGCGUAAAGGGCGCGUAGGCGGCUCAUACAGUCAGGCGUGAAAUUCCUGGGCUCAACCUGGGGACUGCGCUUGAGACGUGUGGGCUUGAGUGGGGAAGAGGGUCGUGGAAUUCCCAGUGUAGAGGUGAAAUUCGUAGAUAUUGGGGAAGAACACCGGUGGCGAAGGCGGCGACCUGGUCCUUGACUGACGCUGAGGCGCGAAAGCGUGGGGAGCAAACAGG